rnacentral:rRNA from 1 species
UACGGAGGUUGCAAGCGUUAUCCGGAUUUAUUGGGUUUAAAGGGUGCGUAGGCGGAAUUGUAAGUCAGUGGUGAAAACCUGCAGCUUAACUGUAGAACUGCCAUUGAUACUGCCAUUCUUGAGUAUAGUUGAGGUAGGCGGAAUGUGUAAUGUAGCGGUGAAAUGCUUAGAUAUUACACAGAACACCAAUUGCGUAGGCAGCUUACUAAACUGUAACUGACGCUGAGGCACGAAAGCGUGGGGAG